rnacentral:sRNA from 1 species
UUAUUUUUUUGGUAUCAAUGUUAAGUAUUUAUACCAUUUUCGAAGUUGUAACAGAAGUUACACGGAAUACAUGUAGCGGAAAAAUAAAUCUACAGAAGACACAGACAAAAACAAACAGCAAUAGUGGUUAACGUUAACCAAAAGCGGAAAUAAGAGAAGAAACACCGAUUCCGAGAAGCUAAACUCGGAAAUUUGCGUGAUUUCCACAACUCGAAGAUACCAAAGAGUUGGAGUCCCAUCCUAGUUGCCACGAGCAAACCUUAGCAGAAGCCCGUACACAAAACCUCUCGAUAAAGCGCCUACAGCUUCUCCGCAAACUAACGCAAAAACGCAAAGACAACAGAGGACUAAAACACAAAUCCGACGGUUACAGGAGCAUCUACGGGUAAUGCAUAUAUCUUUGUGACUUUAAGAGCAUGUUCAUAGAUGUACUCACAAAGU